UACGUAGGGGGCAAGCGUUGUCCGGAUUUAUUGGGCGUAAAGAGCGUGUAGGCGGCCAGGUAGGUCUGCUGUGAAAGUCAAAGGCUCAACCUUUGAAAGCCGGUGGAUACUGUGGGGCUAGAGUCCGGAAGAGGCGAGUGGAAUUCCUGGUGUAGCGGUGGAAUGCGCAGACAUCAGGAGGAACACCAAUAGCGAAGGCAGCUCGCUGGGACGGUACUGACGCUAAGGCGCGAAAGCGUGGGGAGUGAACAGG
rnacentral:rRNA from 1 species